GGAGUGUUUUCGGGGGGGGGGGGGAUAUAUGGGAGGGGGUUCUUCCCUCCUGAGGCAUGACAUACAGACUAAGCAGGGACCCAUUCCUGUGGUGGACUUUCUUUUCCCACCUGUUGCGCAUUUGCACAAAGGUCCUCUCUAUCCCCCUAUGUCCCCAGCCCCCCUAUUCCUUUUUGGGCAUUGAAUAAUUAUCUACAGUAUUGGCAUAUAUACAUUUUCAGUGAGUAUAUUACCCUCUCCCGUUUUGCUUCCCUUGAUUGUCGGUAAUCAAUGUCCCAAAAACUCUGAGAGAGAUUAACAUUGUCCAUGGUAUGUUUUUGGUUGGUUCGGCCUAUGUGGAUGCCAUCCGUCAUCUCCUGGUUUCUUUCACUUAGCGUUGGUAUUCUUGGAUGCUUUGGAGUUUCUCGCUGUCUGCCAUUCUUGAUGUAGUGCCGACCGUUUGGUUGGUUUGUCUUUUUCUGUGGCUAGGCUGAUGCCCCAGGAAUGCAGCAAUCAGGCUCUGUAAUCUGCGUUUGAGGCUACCUGUGUUUUGCCGUCUCGUAGGAUCAAUAGCUUGAUUGGGAACCCCCAUCGGUACGGGAUUUUCCUAUUCCUGAGUUCAGCUGUGAUGUCUUUGAAAGUUUUCCUGCGUCUUAGUAUUUCAGUCGAUAGAUCUGCAUAGAUCUGUAUCGCUUUAUAUUUGUCCGGGAGCUCAUGUUGUGGUUUUUUUGAGCGUAGGAUGGAUUCUUUCACAUGAUAGUAGUGCAUUUUAAGCACCACACGCGGUAUAGAGGCGGGUAGGUGUUGUAGUUUUGCUACUCGGUGCGCCCUGUCCAUGAGUAGCAUAUCGAUUGGGAGGUCAGGGGCUAAGAUGUGGAACAGGUCUGUGAGGUACGCCAUGAGGUCUGGUGUCUGUACCUCUUCAGGGAUACCUCUCACCCGGAGAUUUUGGCGCCGGGAUCUGUCCUCUAGAUACAUGUUUUUUACUUCCUGUUUCUCAAGUUUUGCUUCCAGUUCUUCAUUUUUUUUCUGCAUGCUGUUGUGUGCUUCGGCAUAUUCCGCCAUCUUGCCUUCCAUAUGUGCUGUGCGGCUACCGAUUUCUAUAAUAUCUUUUUUAAGGUCUGCUAUUGCUAAUUUGACUGUUGUUUGAAUCUUUGAAGCCAUAUCAUCCAGCAUUGUCUGGAAUACUUCAACAUGAAUUUGCAUGGUAUUGUGUGUUAGGUGUUGUGGGGACUGUGGCUGGGAUAUCUCCCGGUCAUCUCCACUGCCGUCACCAUCUUGUGAUAUUUGCGCUAGUGAUUUAUGGCAUGCCGUUUUCGCCGUGAAAAACUAGUGUUUUUCUUUGUUGUCAGUCACCCUCCUUGCUCCCCUCUGUGACAUCGUUCCAGCUCCUCUCCCUGGGGUGAUUUUAUGCUGGUAGGUCGCUGUUUAUAUCGCUGUAUUUAGCCGUCGGCUCGGGAGCUCCCUCUUCACGCGGACAUUCAGUUCGAGCGCAGGCUCCGCCCCACAAAUUGGAAUUUAUUAUUGUUGGUGUUUUGUUUCUCACUGUGUUGUUGAUUAAUAUUGCCUUGUUGAUUAAUAUUUCAUCUGUCUUAACAAGCAUCGAACACUUCACUCCGUGGGUAACCCGCAGCGGCUUGUCCACCACAUCUCCGCACGUGAGACUUGCCUGUAGAGACAGACGCUUUCCCUAUGCUAUCCCUACAGAAAUGCAGUUGUCUGUCUGAACUGGUGGGGCUGAAGGGGUGUAUGUGGUGUGUCACAUUCUAGGUCAAUGACGUCUUGAUGUAAGAAAGUAGGGGUUACGUUGUCUACAGUCUUCCCUACUGUCUUUUGCAAAUACCUUUGUAUGCAAGGCAGUACGCAACAUGUUAGAAAUAGGAAGAUAAUGAACACUGUAACGACUGCUGUCCCGACUUGGAAUAGGGUUCUCUGCCAACCAUUCAUCCAUCCAAACCAUCUGUCCCAUACGUUAGUGACCCCUGAGUUCCCUUUUAAUUCAUCUGAAAGGCUAUCUAAUUUUUCUAUUGCCAUAGUUACCUUCCCAUUGGGCCCGGUAUUAUCUGGAAUGAAUGUACAGCAUGUCAUGGUCUCGGGGAGGAUUUUACAUACGCCCCCUUCUCUGCUAGAAUCAUAUCCAGAGCCAUUCUAUUUUGAAAUGUAAUUUGGGUAGUAGCUUGCAGCUGUUCUGCUAGGCCCUGUAGGUCAUCUCUAGUGUAAUUAACAAACCGCUGCUGAUUAUAAUAAAUGUAAUUGAUCCAAUUGACAUUCUUAUUAGCAGUAAUCAUUGAAAUCAGAGAUUCAAACCCGGCAGCUACUUCAUCCCUUGUUUUAAAUUCGUUGAGUACCCCCCUUGGCACACCAAUGGCAUCAAUAUAAACAUGCGGAUCAAAGCUACCACAGAUUGGGACUUCCCUUUUGACUCUGUAGUGUGUGUGCGUGGGGUCAAACGUAUUAUGAUGGCCAUCCGGGAUAAUAUGGAUAGGCAUUUAUGGCCUUAGUUAGUGUGCAUUCUCCCCACCACAGUCCUGUUAGUUGGGAUCUCAGUUGCUUAUGAUAGGUGGAGCAAUAACUAGAUGGGAAUUUGCCCAUGAAUGUACCUGUGUUCCACCCAGCCGCUUUCCAAGAACUACAAUGAUGUCCCCAUGACCCCCCUGUCACACAAAUAUAUGGGUCCUUCUUACUGGGUAUGUCCUUGUAUAUAGCAGCAUAUUGUGUUUGUGGGAAGGCGCAAGUAACAAUAUCACAGUAAUCAAAAGAAAAGGUAGCUACAUCUGUGUUUGAGGAAUUGUACCAAAAAUUGUAAACAUGGUUAUCUUUGGUUAUAGCCACUUGCUGGGCCCCUGUAAAGUUUAGUAGCAAGAGAAAACACAAGGAACACAGAAAUUUCAUGGCUCAGUAGGGACAACGUCUUCUGGAGCAGGCACUUUCUUGCAGUGUGAGGUGUGUAUCCAGGAACUCUUCCCUGCCAAUUUUACUGAGGUAGCUGUAAUCAGCAGCACUUGGUAAGGACCAUCAAACCUUGGCUCAAGGGUGUGUUUCCUAAGGAAUUUCUUGACCAUAACACAGUCACCAGGGAGCAACUUGUGUGUACCUGUAUUCGACUCAGGAUCUGGAAUAGAAGAAAACACUUGGGCAUGGAUUUUGGUCAAGGCAUGAGAGAGAGAAGUCACAUAAUCUACCAUAGCGUCUGACUGAAUCUGAAGCUGUUGGGGGAAGUAACAACCCAACCUUGGUGCUGUCCCGAACAGGAUCUCAUAGGGAGAUAAGUUGUAUUUUCCCCUAGGGGUGUACCUCACACUAAAUAAUGCUAAUUGAAGACUCUCAGGCCAGGGCAUGUUAGUGUCUUGGGACAUCUUAAGCAUUCUGGCCUUCAAUGUGCCAUUCAUGCGUUCUACCUUACCACUACUCUGCGGGUGAUAUGGUGUAUGGAAGGCAAGGGUCACCCCCAGUGCUGCCCUGACUUCCCGUGUUAAUGAGGCGGUAAAGGAGGUUCCUUGGUCACUUUCAAUCACUUCUGGAACACCAUACCGGCAAACAAUUUCCAUCAGAAGAUGUUUGGCUGUAGUUCUUGCGGUAAGAUUGGCCACUGGGAAGGCUUCUGGCCAUCCUGAGAACAUGUCCACAAUGACAUGUCCACUAAUUCAUAGCGUCCACUAUUUGGCAUCUGGAUGUGGUCAAUCUGUAUCCUCUGGAAAGGGUAUUGUGGUUUGGCCAAGUGGUUGGGUGCAGUUUUAACGAUCUUCCCAGGGUUACAUUUAGCACAAACUGCACAGGAUCUACAAUAGUUCUGUGUUAGAGUAGUAAUACCCGGUGCUUCAAAGUAUUUAUCAAUCAAAGAGUUCAUCAGAUGUUUUGACAAAUGGGCAGAUCCAUGGGCCAAUGGACAACAGCUGGAUACAUAUUCUUGGGUAGACAGAACUUAAGGUUGAUAGUAUAAACAUCAUCUCAGAGAAUGGCCCCCCUGCUCUUCCAACUCUGUUUUUCUUGGGGGGUUGCAGCAGCUUGUUGUUC
rnacentral:lncRNA from 1 species